NCACUGCUGAGGAGUCCCAUAAUAGGACGAAACGGCCGUCCAGUGC
rfam:Schistosoma rodhaini strain Burundi genome assembly, scaffold: SROB_scaffold0008770